CCCGGAGAGACAGCAGAAUGAAGGUCAAGCUGAAGACUUUACCAGACAAGCUGAGAGGUGGUGCAUGGCCGUCGCCAGCUCGUGCCGUGAGAUGUCCUGUUAAGUCAGGUAACGAGCGAGAUCCCUGCCUCUAGUUGCCACUAUUACACCCUGGUGUAGUAGGGCGAAUUAGGGGGACCGCCGCAGUUAAUGCGGAGGAAGGAAGGGGCCACGGCAGGUCAGUAUGCCCCGAAACUCUGGGGCCACACGCGGGCUGCAAUGGUAGCGACAAUGAGUUCCAAAAUCGAAAGAUAGAGGUAAUCCCUAAACGCUACCACAGUUGUGAUUGAGGGCUGCAACUCGCCCUCAUGAACAUGGAAUCCCUAGUAACCGCGUGUCAUUAUCGCGCAGUGAAUACGUCCCUGCUCCUUGCACACACCGCCCGUCGUUUCAUUGAAGUUUGCCUUUAGCGAGGUGAUGUCUAAUUGGCAUUAUCGAACUUGGGGUAAGUGACAAGGGAAAAGUCGUAACAAGGUGACCGUAGGGGAACCUGCGGUCG
rnacentral:rRNA from 1 species